AACGUAGGAGACAAACGUUAUCCGGAGUUACUGGGCGUAAAGGGCGUGUAGGCGGUUUGUUAAGUCUGGCGUGAAAGCUCUCGGCUAAACCGGGAGAGGUCGUUGGAUACUGGCAAACUAGAGGACGGUAGAGGCGUGUGGAAUUCCGGGUGUAGUGGUGAAAUUCGUAGAUAUCGGGAGGAACACCAGUGGCGAAGGCGGCGAUCUGGGCAGAUAUUGACGCUGAGGUGCGAAAGCGUGGGGAGCAAACAGG
rnacentral:rRNA from 1 species